CCUUUUGAGACUUGUAAACGUUUUGCAGAUGCUCAUUACUACAUGAAUCUCUUGAUGAGUCACUAAUUGAUAAAAUCCCGGGCCGCCAAAAUGACCGCAAAACACUUUUGGGGGAAUUAAAUUGGAUUUUCACUGCAGUGACUGAUACCAUUGCAUGGAACGUUCUGCCACAUGGGCUGAUACUAGGUGGCUAUAUGAAGCAAUAGCGUGAUAUGCUUGGUUUGAUGUAGAAAUUGGUAUCAAGCAGUACUUCAUGGGUUCUUUCAAGGGCCAGACACAUAAGAAUACAUGGAAUGAGACUCUGAAAUUAAGGGGCUGGCUUUCUUCCCAAUUGUUUCAACAACAGUUUCCAUCCCAUUAUGCUGAAAUAAUCCAUACUCUGCCACUUCAAGAAUACAUGAAUCUCAUAUGGCUACAUCGAGCAACUUGUACAGGCUGAUUAUGUCUUAAAACUGUGUUAUGAUUCCUAUGACAUGUCAAGGGAAUUUCAGUAUUGGUUGAAGACAAGUAACAAUUAGGUUUUAGGAAAAUUGCUAGGGUAUCGUGUUCCUCUGCUGCCACUCACGAAUCAUGGGAUAGAAAAUUGCUCGGGAUGUUAAAUCUGAUUUUGAUUCUGAAACUUUGCUACCUUCUUGUGAGAGUAUACAUGGCUUAGAAACAUCAGAAAACAGGAAAAGUUUCAAGGGUAACAAUUAAAGCUCCAAUCAUGAUGGGAAGAAAUCACUAGCAGUGUCUGACGGUGCCCAGUGGGAUGUAUUUCGCAGACAAGAUUUUCCCAAGCUUAUAGAUUAUCUCAAAAGGCAUUCUAAUGAGUUUGCUUGCCACAAGCGGGUAAGUGUAAAAGCUAAAAUGUUGCCGUCUUUUCCUGUCAAAUAAUUUCUCUUAAACUUUUAACUUGCCUGCCUUAGGUUGAUUGGGAGAAUAUAGAGAAGUGGAAAUGUGAACUGGGUAGUGGUUAUAGAGAAUUUUUUAAUGUUAUAUUUCAUUUUUGGUAGUUAAUGUAAUGUAGUAGAUAGAUUCUAAAUUUUAGCGUACUUCUUAUUUCGUGCACUCAAAACUAGAUUAUCUACUAUCUAGUGAACCUGACAAGGACAAUGAAGUCAGACUCGUGGCGUUAUCAUGCUAAUGUCAAUUUUUUAUUUUAUCCAUUUGAUUCUGCUUCAAGUUCAGAGUUUAAAAUUGUCUGAAAACUUAGCUACGAUAUUAAAGUCCAACGAGCUUGAUUGUUUGUAUUAUAUCAAUUCAAAUUCUUGUAUGGCUUUAGUAUUUUAGGAACAAAUUCAUUUAGGAUUGAUAAAGAAUGGCUGCUGCAGUAAGCUGCCAGUGUAUUUACUAUAUAGUUAUGUUGUACUACCUAUUUGUGCUGGUUCAUGUAGUAAAUCACAUAAUUUUUUUUAACUGGCAAAAGGCAAUUUAAUUUACAUAAUCCAGUUGAUACCAUCUCCUUUUUUUUUUGGCCAAAAUGUUCAUUAAAUCUCAUAUUUUUCUUUCAGAAAACU